rnacentral:rRNA from 1 species
UUUUUAACUCAAGUGGCGGACGGGUGAGUAACACGUAAGAAUUUGCCUUUAGGAGGGGGAUAACAACUGGAAACGGUUGCUAAUACCCCAUAUGCUUUCGAGUGAAACGGAUUUAUCCGCCUAAAGAGAAGCUUGCGGCUGAUUAGCUUGUUGGUGAGGUAAUGGCUUACCAAGGCGACGAUCAGUAUCUGGUUUGAGAGGACGAUCAGACACACUGGAACUGAGACACGGUCCAG